rnacentral:rRNA from 1 species
UUGAACGCUGGCGGCAGGCCUAACACAUGCAAGUCGAGCGGUAGCACAGAGAGCUUGCUCUCGGGUGACGAGCGGCGGACGGGUGAGUAAUGUCUGGGAAACUGCCUGAUGGAGGGGGAUAACUACUGGAAACGGUAGCUAAUACCGCAUAACGUCGCAAGACCAAAGUGGGGGACCUUCGGGCCUCAUGCCAUCAGAUGUGCCCAGAUGGGAUUAGCUAGUAGGUGGGGUAACGGCUCACCUAGGCGACGAUCCCUAGCUGGUCUGAGAGGAUGACCAGCCACACUGGAACUGAGACAUGGUCCAGACUCCUACGGGAGGCAGCAGUGGGGAAUAUUGCACAAUGGGCGCAAGCCUGAUGCAGCCAUGCCGCGUGUGUGAAGAAGGCCUUCGGGUUGUAAAGCACUUUCAGCGGGGAGGAAGGCGGUGAGGUUAAUAACCUCAUCGAUUGACGUUACCCGCAGAAGAAGCACCGGCUAACUCCGUGCCAGCAGCCGCGGUAAUACGGAGGGUGCAAGCGUUAAUCGGAAUUACUGGGCGUAAAGCGCACGCAGGCGGUCUGUCAAGUCGGAUGUGAAAUCCCCGGGCUCAACCUGGGAACUGCAUUCGAAACUGGCAGGCUAGAGUCUUGUAGAGGGGGGUAGAAUUCCAGGUGUAGCGGUGAAAUGCGUAGAGAUCUGGAGGAAUACCGGUGGCGAAGGCGGCCCCCUGGACAAAGACUGACGCUCAGGUGCGAAAGCGUGGGGAGCAAACAGGAUUAGAUACCCUGGUAGUCCACGCCGUAAACGAUGUCGAUUUGGAGGUUGUGCCCUUGAGGCGUGGCUUCCGGAGCUAACGCGUUAAAUCGACCGCCUGGGGAGUACGGCCGCAAGGUUAAAACUCAAAUGAAUUGACGGGGGCCCGCACAAGCGGUGGAGCAUGUGGUUUAAUUCGAUGCAACGCGAAGAACCUUACCUGGUCUUGACAUCCACAGAACUUUCCAGAGAUGGAUUGGUGCCUUCGGGAACUGUGAGACAGGUGCUGCAUGGCUGUCGUCAGCUCGUGUUGUGAAAUGUUGGGUUAAGUCCCGCAACGAGCGCAACCCUUAUCCUUUGUUGCCAGCGGUUAGGCCGGGAACUCAAAGGAGACUGCCAGUGAUAAACUGGAGGAAGGUGGGGAUGACGUCAAGUCAUCAUGGCCCUUACGACCAGGGCUACACACGUGCUACAAUGGCAUAUACAAAGAGAAGCGACCUCGCGAGAGCAAGCGGACCUCAUAAAGUAUGUCGUAGUCCGGAUUGGAGUCUGCAACUCGACUCCAUGAAGUCGGAAUCGCUAGUAAUCGUAGAUCAGAAUGCUACGGUGAAUACGUUCCCGGGCCUUGUACACACCGCCCGUCACACCAUGGGAGUGGGUUGCAAAAGAAGUAGGUAGCUUAACCUUCGGGAGGGCGCUUACCACUUUGUGAUUCAUGACUGGGGUG